rnacentral:lncRNA from 1 species
CUCUGCUUCCUGAUCAUCGUGUGAGCUGCUUCUCUCUGCCACACUUUUCUGCCAUGAUGUUCUGCCUCACCUGGAUCCCUGGGGAAUGAAGCCUGCUGUCUAUGGACUGAGACUUCUGAAAUUGUGAGCCCUAAAUAAACCUUUCCUCCUCCACAGUUGUUCUGGUCAGAUCUUUUUGUCACAACAGCAAAAAAGCUGACUAAAACAACGUCUCUCAGGCUGGGGUUGUGGCUCAGAGGUAGAGCACUCGCUCACCUACCAUGCAUGAGACACUGGGAUCGAUCCUCAGCACCACAUAGAAAUAAAAUGAAAUUAUUG